AAGCUCGUAGUUGAAUUUCGGGAUUGACGUGACGGUCGUGCCUUACGGGUAUGAACUGUCGCCGUUGAUUUCUCACCUUCUGGAGAAGCUCGAUGUCCUUAAUUGGGUGUCUUGCGGAACCAGGACCUUUACCUUGAAAAAAUUAGAGUGUUUAAAGCAGGCAUUUUGCUCGAAUACAUUAGCAUGGAAUAAUAGAAUAGGACGGCAUGGUUCUAUUUUGUGGUUUCAAGGAUCACCGUAAUGAUUAAUAGGAUAUUGGG
rnacentral:rRNA from 1 species